GGUUACGUUACCUGGUCUCUAGCUUGGGCUGGGUGGGCUGGAUCUAAUCCCGCCGCCGCCGGCGCCGGGCUCCUCUCACUGCCACUGGAUUGAGGCACUGCUGUUAUGUAAGGAAGCCUUCUGGAAAAUCCUGAGACAUCAUGGAAUUCUAGCAAAGAUUAUUAAUUUGAUAAAAGCGUUAUAUGAUGAGACUGUGUAUGCUGCUUCAGGACAGAGAGUGGAAACCUGGAAUGGUUUAAGAUUGUCGCUGGUGUAAGGCCAGGUUGCGUGCUAUCCCCGCUUCUUUUCUGCAUUGUCAUUGACUUUGUGAUGAGAAGAGCCAUGGCUGAAGACACUGGUAUUGUUUGGGCAAAAUAUAAGCUGUGAGACCUAGAUUUUGCAGAUAGUCAUACUGGUUACCAGCUUGGGUGGAACAAAAAGAUUCUUUAUAAGCAUACAAACAGAAGCUGCUAAAGUGAAAUUUUGCAUCAGUAUCCAGAAGAGUAAGAUCAUGGAGAUAUGAGAGAAUGUAAGAUUGAUCGAGAAGAGUACAAAAGAGUUGAUGAUUUUAUCUUUGAAGUACAAUGUCUGCUAAUGGCUAGCUCACAAAGUGAAAGCCAGGAUCAGAAAAGCCAGUGAAGCAUUUUCCUGUUUGUCAAACAUCUGGAAAAGUAAGAAGAUACAUCUAUACCCUAAAAUGAGAUUAAAUUAUACUACUGUCUUCCCAACACUAUACCUCAGAAAUGUGGCAGAUAGUUGAAGUCCAUAACAGGAAGAUGAAUUCAUUUCACCAGCUUUAUUUAAGAAAUAUCUUGGGCAUUUAUGGGUCAGCAGCCUGUGAACCCAACAAUCAGGCAGCGAUGGCUACCCCAAGGCAGAUGCCACAUGGUGGGAAAAGAAGGUGUAGAGGACAAAGAAUGACUUAUUGCAAGAUGAUUGAAAAGGAUGCUGUUGUCAUGGACAUGACUUAUGAUGGAGUCAAACACCUAACUCUGGACAGACAACAGUGGGGAAAAUGGGUUACCUCUAGAUUCUAAGUCUAAGUAAGUGUAACUUAUAUAAAGAGUCACUUUUAGUCAUGUGAUAUUUGCUUUUCUUUCUGGAACAGGAUGAGUACCUCAGAGUGUAUUUAUGACAAUAGCCAAUACUCCUGGUGCUGCUAAGGUGGCUGGGUGUGUAGGGUUUGGGGGGCGGGGAUUGGAAAUACACUCUAAAAAUAGUCAACAAACUAGGAAGAAAUGACAGGAAAAAAUAAGCAAUGAUUGGUGGGAAUGAGGGGAAAGAAACUUAUGUGUGAGGCCAGGAGCCAAUUAUCUCAGUUACAAGCAUGCCACCCCAUUGAUGUCAAUGGGAUUGCAGUUAUGUACAUAAGGGCAGAAGCUGGCACUAUACCUUUCAUAAAGGAGCCACCCUGUUUCCAGCUACACUGCACAGGUGGCAUAACAAGCAGUGUCAGCUGUUUUCCAUAGAAAAACUACCCAAGCACACUGCAUUCCCCUAGUGAAGUCAUAGGCAGUGUAGAACCAUAGCCAGCUCCUAUAAAACAUAAGACACAUAAUCUUUUCCAGUGACGCACUGAUUUGGCAUGCCAUGCUGUGCAUUUAGACGUAAUGGGAUUGAAUUGGAUAAUGGAAUAAAGAAAAAGAAAAGUCAUUAAUUAUAAAAAAUUCAUUUCCCCUGUUUUAUUUCCUGUAGUGUUUGUGUUUUUCGUGUCUGGAAAAAAACACUUCUAACAGUUUUAGAUUUGGAGCAAAGUAUCAAUUAUAAACCUGUAUAAUUUGUAUGGGUUUCAAGAGGCUGGCAGAAACUAUUUGACCUCAAAUGGUAAGGGUGAACAGGGAGAGGUUGGCCUGUGGACAGGAGAAAAGAGUUUCUUUGCUUUGAAUUGUUAAUUACAAUUUUUACACCCCCACAAUACCUCUGGGAUCUGCAGCCCAUUAGUUGAAAAACACUGUAUUAAAGUAUUCUUGCAUGGGACUUUUUGUUUGUGUUGGUACACUUGAAAGAAUAAAC